UACGUAGGGGGGCAAGCGUUGUCCGGAUUUAUUGGGCGUAAAGAGCGUGUAGGCGGCCGUACAGGUCAGCUGUGAAAAACUCGAGGCUCAACCUCGAGACGUCGGUUGAAAACCGUACGGCUAGAGUCCGGAAGAGGAGAGUGGAAUUCCCGGUGUAGCGGUGAAAUGCGCAGAUAUCGGGGAAGAACACCCGUGGCGAAGGCGGCUCUCUGGGACGGUACUGACGCUGAGACGCGAAAAGCGUGGGGAGCGAACAGG
rnacentral:rRNA from 1 species